rnacentral:tRNA from 1 species
GUUAUCGUGGUGCAACGGUAGCACACUUGGCUCGUAUUCGAGAAUUCCAGGUUCGAAUCCCGAUGAGGGCA